rnacentral:rRNA from 1 species
UGGGGAAUUUUGGACAAUGGGCGAAAGCCUGAUCCAGCCAUGCCGCGUGCAGGAUGAAGGCCUUCGGGUUGUAAACUGCUUUUGUACGGAACGAAAAGCCUCUUUCUAAUAAAGAGAGGUCAUGACGGUACCGUAAGAAUAAGCACCGGCUAACUACGUGCCAGCAGCCGCGGUAAUACGUAGGGUGCAAGCGUUAAUCGGAAUUACUGGGCGUAAAGCGUGCGCAGGCGGUUUUGUAAGACAGAGGUGAAAUCCCCGGGCUCAACCUGGGAACUGCCUUUGUGACUGCAAGGCUGGAGUGCGGCAGAGGGGGAUGGGAUUCCGCGUGUAGCAGUGAAAUGCGUAGAUAUGCGGAGGAACACCGAUGGCGAAGGCAAUCCCCUGGGCCCGCACUGACGCUCAUGCACGAAAGCGUGGGGAGCAAACAGGAUUAGAUACCCUGGGUAGUCCACGCCCUAAACGAUGUCAACUGGUUGUUGGGUCUUCACUGACUCAGUAACGAAGCUAACGCGUGAAGUUGACCGCCUGGGGAGUACGGCCGCAAGGUUGAAACUUAAAGGAAUUGACGGGGUCAUAGCUGUUUCCU